rnacentral:lncRNA from 1 species
AGCUUGCCGUCUCUAAUUCUUUUAUUUUCAUGUCAUUUUAAGUUCUCAACAGUUUGUGGUGAUUGAAACAUUCUUUUCAACCUAGGAAUUAUAGAAAAAUACCAUAACACCCUUUUAGGGACCCCCUUUCUAAUUUGUUUUAUCCAUAUUUUCUUAUUUGCCACCUAGAUGCUCCACACCUUGGGCAUUCACUAAGAUUCUUGAACUCAUUC